CAAUAGCGUAUAUUAAAGUUGUUGCGGUUAAAAGCUCGUAGUUGGAUUUCUGUUGAGGGCGACCGGUACGCAUUUCGUGCGUUAUCUGGCUCGGUCUUGGCAUCCUCUUGGGGAACGACUCCAUGCUUAAUUGCACGGAUCGGGAUUCAAGACUUUUACUUUGAGGAAAUUAGAGUGUUCACGGCAAGCAAGUGCUUUGAAAUACAUUAGCAUGGAAUAAUAAUAUAGGACCUUUGUUCUAUUUUGUUGGUUUCUAGAACUAAGGUAAUGAUUAAUAGGGACAAUUGGGGGCAUUCGUAUUAACGCGUCAGAGGUGGAAUUCUUGGAUUUACGAAAGACGAACAACUGCGAAAGCACUUGCCAAGAGUGUUUUCAUUAAUCAAGAACGAAAGUUAGAGGAUCGAAGACGAUCAGAU
rnacentral:rRNA from 1 species